rnacentral:sRNA from 1 species
AAAAGAAGAGCUGGUCCUGAAGCUCACAACCGUAACAGCCACCAGACAAGCUUCAGUGGCCGGCCCUUCACAUCCAGACUUGCCUGAGAGGACCCACCUCUGAGUGUCCAGUGGUCAGUUGCCCCAGGAUGGGGACCACAGCCAGAGCAGCCUUGGUCUUGACCUAUUUGGCUGUUGCUUCUGCUGCCUCUGAGGGAGGCUUCACGGCUACAGGACAGAGGCAGCUGAGGCCAGAGCACUUUCAAGAAGGUAAGAGUUUGGGGGAGCAGCAUGGGAUUGGGACUCCAGGAGGCACUGUGGGCUCUGAUGUCUCCCCUCUUGCUUCUAGUUGGCUACGCAGCUCCCCCCUCCCCACCCCUAUCCCGAAGCCUCCCCAUGGAUCACCCUGACUCCUCUCAGCAUGGCCCUCCCUUUGAGGGACAGAGUCAAGGUAAGGUCACCACCCCAUGCCCUCCUCAGUGACCCUCCAGGUUUCUAAUCUGGCCUAUAUCCCACUUUUCAGGUGGGAAGGAGGGAAGAGGCCCUCGCCCCCACUCCCAGCCCUGGCUAGGCGAAAGGGUGGGCUGCUCACACAUUCCCCCUUCUAUAGUGCAGCCCCCUCCCUCUCAGGAGGCCACCCCUCUCCAACAGGAAAAGCUGCUACCUGCCCAACUCCCUGCUGAAAAGGAAGUGGGUCCCCCUCUCCCUCAGGAAGCUGUCCCCCUCCAAAAAGAGCUGCCCUCUCUCCAGCACCCCAAUGAACAGAAGGAAGGAACGCCAGCUCCAUUUGGGGACCAGAGCCAUCCAGAACCUGAGUCCUGGAAUGCAGCCCAGCACUGCCAACAGGACCGGUCUCAAGGGGGCUGGGGCCACCGGCUGGAUGGCUUCCCCCCUGGGCGGCCUUCUCCAGACAAUCUGAACCAAAUCUGCCUUCCUAACCGUCAGCAUGUGGUAUAUGGUCCCUGGAACCUACCACAGUCCAGCUACUCCCACCUCACUCGCCAGGGUGAGACCCUCAAUUUCCUGGAGAUUGGAUAUUCCCG